GAUGAACGCUGGCGGCGUGCCUAAUACAUGCAAGUCGAGCGAACAGACGAGGAGCUUGCUCCUUUGACGUUAGCGGCGGACGGGUGAGUAACACGUGGGUAACCUACCUAUAAGACUGGGAUAACUUCGGGAAACCGGAGCAUAUCCCGGAUAAUAUUUCGAACCGCAUGGUUCGUUAGUGAAAGAUGGCUUUGCUAUCACUUCUAGAUGGAUCUGCGCCGUAUUAGAUAGUUGGUAAGGUAACGGCUUACCAAGGCAACGAUACGUAGACGACCUGAGAGGGUGAUCGGCGACACGGGAACGGAGCCACGGUCCAGACUCCUAAGGGAGGCAGCAGUAGGGAAUCUUCCGCAAUGGGCGAAAGCCUGACGGAGCAACGCCGCGUGAGUGAUGAAGGUCUUCGGAUCGUAAAACUCUGUUAUUAGGGAAGAAUAAACGUGUAAGUAACUGUGCACGUCUUGACGGUACCUAAUCAGAAAGCCACGGCUAACUACGUG
rnacentral:rRNA from 1 species